GCUGACACAUCCCGGCCAAUCUCCAGCAGACUCUCCCUCCCAGACCCUCCCAUCUCCUGGCCAGCAUCCAUGUUGAAGCUGCCUUCAACAUGGAUGCUGUCCAGGAGGUGGGAGGGUCUGGGAGGGAGGGUCUGCUGGAGAUUGGCCGGGAUGUGUCAG
rnacentral:miRNA from 1 species